rnacentral:rRNA from 1 species
UACGGGGGGGGCAAGCGUUGUUCGGAAUUACUGGGCGUAAAGGGCUCGUAGGCGGCCAACUAAGUCGGACGUGAAAUCCCCAGGCUCAACCUGGGAACUGCGUCCGAUACUGGAUGGCUUGAAUCCGGGAGAGGGAUGCAGAAUUCCAGGUGUAGCGGUGAAAUGCGUAGAUAUCUGGAGGAACAUCAGUGGCGAAAGCGACUUCCUGGACCAAUACUGACGCUCAUGUGCGAAAGCGUGGGGAGCAAACAGG